CUCCUGCGAACGGCCGACAAUUUUGCCAUUUUUCAUCCUUCAACGACGGUGAGAUGGGCACCAUCACUGCGGCGGAGAUAAGCUGCCACCACCGCGGCGGGAGACGCUACCUCCACCAGCUUAUUCCUUCGCUUCCACCGCUAGCUUUUGCCGCCGCUACCACAAGGUUCCGUCGCCCCUGCCCUCGAAUUUCACGGCUGUGGAAAGCUAUUAAAAAAUUUUAAACUAUAUCAUGUGAAGGCACUCUCAACUUCCUCCUCGUCCUCUCCGAGAGAAAACCAUUGUCCUCCAUGCUAACAACAUCGAGGUUUCACUACCCUUAUUUAGAGAUUUCAAGUUCCGUUCAAGGGAUUUUGGACAUAACAAUGGGAGAAAAAAUCAUUGCAUCAGUUCUAUAGCCGAUCCACUAUAGCCGAAGCAGCUAAUGAGAUUUUCGAUUAGCUUCAGGAAAGAUAACGAGCCACUCAAGAUUGAGAAUGAGAAUGGGCAACAAAAUUCCUUUGUCGUCGGUGCCGACAACUAACUCUAAUAAAGAUGGAGAAAAUUGAAGAUUAACAUAUCUUUUAUUUGUAAUGCUACAACAUUAACAUUUUGUGUACUUUAAUUUCAUGUUUGGAUGAUUUAUUUUUAUCGUUUGAUGAUUUAACUUAUGGAUAUAAAAUUUGAGUUGUUCAAUGCUUUUGUGUAUUUGAUAAAUUGAUU